CUCAGAUAUCCCGAUUCUCCUUUCUUCAUUUUCAUUCUUACUGCAACUGACCAUUUCGAUUUUUCCUCCGAUUUUCAUUCUUACAUUUUUUUUCUUAUUUCUCAUUGCCGUGCGACAAACCCUCAGGUGGACGUGGACUCUCGCCGUCGACCACCUCCUCUCGAACCAUUUUGUUUAUCUUGGUUGAUCGAAUCUCUGUAGUGUCGUCUCCAGUAGUUCUCUUCACGCUGCAAGAUAUGUUCGAGCUUGUAGGGGGUCUUGUUGAAAAUUUUUUGGCUGGAUUCAAUAGUAUUGUAUUUGUGUAUGGACA